rnacentral:tRNA from 1 species
CACUAGGAAGCUUAAUCGGGUAAAGCGUUAGCCUUUUAAGCUAAAGAAUGGUAGCCCCCAACUACCUCUAGUGA